rnacentral:rRNA from 1 species
GGUUGAUCCUGCCAGUAGUCAUAUGCUUGUCUCAAAGAUUAAGCCAUGCAUGUCUCAGUAUAAGUUUUUCUACGGCAAAGCUGCGAAUGGCUCAAUAAAACAGUUAUAGUUUAUUUGAUCGUUGCUUACUACAUGGAUAACUGUGGUAAUUCUAGAGCUAAUACAUGCAUCAAAACCCAACUUUGAGGAAGGGUUGUAUUUAUUAGAUACAGAACCAACCCAAGCCUGCUUGGACUCUUGGUGAUUCAUAAUAACUGAAUGAAUCGCCUUCUGGCGAUGAAUUAUUCAAGUUU